rnacentral:rRNA from 1 species
AGGGUUUGAUCCUGGCUCAGGAUGAACGCUAGCGGCAGGCUUAACACAUGCAAGUCGAGGGGCAGCAUGUCCAGCAAUGGAUGAUGGCGACCGGCGUAAGGGUGCGUAACGCGUGAGCAACAUGCCCUAUACAGGAGGAUACUCCGGGGAAACCCGGUCUAAUACUCCAUAGUAUUAUUGAGAGGCAUCUCUUAAUAAUUAAAGCUUCGGUGGUAUAGGACUGGCUCGCGUGACAUUAGCCAGAUGGUGAGGUAACGGCUCACCAUAGCAACGAUGUCUAGGGGUUUUGAGAGGAAGGCCCCCCACACUGGGACUGAGACACGGCCCAGACUCCUACGGGAGGCAGCAGUGAGGAAUAUUGGACAAUGGAUGGAAAUCUGAUCCAGUCAUGCCGCGUGCAGGAAGACUGCCUUAUGGGUUGUAAACUGCUUUUAUACGGGAGCAAUAAGGGUUACGUGUAGCCUGAUGAGAGUACUGUAUGAAUAAGGAUCGGCUAACUCCGUGCCAGCCGCCGCGGUAAUUC